AUGGCCAGAAAAUGAUGAAAAGCAGAACCCAGGAGGAUGAAAACAUAGUGUUGCAGUCUAUGGAUUCUUCUGGAAUUAAUUGGUCAUUGGACAAAUCAUAUCUUGCAAGAUAAUUGGUUUGAGUUGCUUUUAGCUGAAUCUUUAAUGGUCAAUCUUGCCAUCUUGAUUACUUUGAUUGGGGUAGGUAAGAGUAAAGAAAUUCAGGAAUCAGCUUCUUUGUCUUGUUAUCAAGUUGGUUGCUGGCUAAGUUGCAUCUCAGCCUCGUGGUUUGAUGCUCACCAUUUAGAAGGUCAUCUAUAUGGCUUAUAAUUUCAGUAGCGUAAUAAACAGAUGUAUGGAUCAGCUCUAACACCAUCACUGGGUAUCCUGAAAUCUGCUGAUCUGACUUCAUUUACACCUAUUCUGACUCUACAUGGACAAACCUAGGGGGAAUUUAGUGAUGCUUUACAAUCGAACAAACAUUGUGCUGUUUGAUAUGGUCUCUUGAUUAGCUGUUAUGUUUUUUGUGUCCAUUCGCUAUGUUUCUCUACCUUAUAAUGUGGCAGUUGUUCAACUCAUGCAUGAUGCAUAUUCCAGGAUGCCUUCCUGGAGUCAAGAAUCAGAUGAUCUACACCUUCCAGGGAAGAGCAAGAGAACAGAAAGUUGCUGAUGGAUUGCCUCUGUGGAUGUCACUUGCCUUAUCUUCUGGCCCAACACAAUGGAGAGAGAGAGAGAGUCCCUAUCAAGGCCAACCUUAUUCCCUGUGGCAAUGGUCUGAGCUUCUCUGCUGCUCGAUGUCAGGAUUAAGGCCUCUACUGCUCAAUCUGUGACCACAGCUUUUGUGUACAACUUUAAAUCCUAUGGGCACAAUGUCAGGAAACAAAAGUAUGAAAGAGUUCUAUUUUAUUUCCUUAUUUGAA